rnacentral:tmRNA from 1 species
GGGGGCGAAAGGCUUCGACCGGAUAGGAUGACGGUCAGGCGGCGUGUCCAGGAUGACGGUUGGCCUGGUAAAUCAUCCGUCACGAACAAUAACUGGCAACUACCAGUAUGCAAUGGCUGCGUAAAUAACCAGCCCGUCCCGGCAGACCUUGUUCGCGGGUUUGCCCCGGACGUCGGAAAGCGAACUGGCCUGCGGGUGUGUUUGCGGCCCAAAGGCGAGACCUUAGCAAAAUAGUGAGUACCGAAGCCUGUCGUUCGGCGUCGGUGCGAGCGAACUUUCAAUAGAGCGACUAUGCACGUAGAAGUCUGGCCUGAAAUAUCACGGGACGGGGGUUCGACUCCCCCCGCCUCCAUUU